CAUGAAAGGGAAGCAGAAGCAUAAAGAUUCCAUGAAAAAAGUAUAGCUGGUUUUCCACAUCAAAUUCAAUUGAGAAUUCCCCUUCAAGCCAAAAUUUCACAUGUGUUGUCUUCUAUUACUGUGUCUCGCCCUUCACAUGAUCAUAACAUGAUUUUUCCAAAAAAAAAAUGACAUCAUAUCUACUCAUUUUAGACAAAGCUAAUGCUUCUAGCUCAGGAACUCUGUUCACUCAAGAGAAUGUGUUGGAAUUCAGGAGAAGCCUCUGUUUGAAGAAAUUGUUUAUCAUAACUUUGUACUUACACACUAGAUUCUAAAACACAGAAGCCACAUAUUUUAUUCUUUUAAUCAGGAAAAUGCCUUUGUUAUUAAUAUAUGGAUGCUACCUACAUCCUACCUCAAGAACAUUGUACGAAUAAUAGCUUAUAAAUCUAAGCCUGCCAAAACCCCACAUCAACAUUAGUGUUUCUCCUUUUAAUCUAGUUGAAUAUAAGCCAUCUAUCUCAGCUAAUUACCCAUCUGAAUACUUGGACGGAGUGAAUGGAAAGCUGCAUUUGUCUGCUUUUGCAGGUAUAACAAUAAUUGUAUUAUAUGGGCACUACACUCUAUAUCAGAGAUUAUCAAUUUCUAAAGUGUGUUUGAAGCAACACCCUUUGUGUAGGAGGUUAAUAGAUAUUACUAGGAGAACAGAAUUUUAUGGUCAAUGAAAUUUAGAACAAUUCUAGGCUUGGGACGAAGCUAAGUAUUAAACAGGUUGAUGCUGGGGCUUCUUGGAACCCAUGAAGCAUCAAUGAAAUCAUCACAAGAAUCACUUAAUACACAAUGAUUUCCAAAGCAUUUUGUCAUAGGAACACUUUCCAAAGCAUUCAUUAUACCUGAUGUUUCUUUUGUCUAUAAUUUAAGAAAUACUUAAUAGAUUCAUUGCUAAUUAUCUCUGUCUAGUUAUGCUGGCAGUUUUGCUUUAAUAUUCAUUAAAACAGGACUCUAUACACAUAUAACAAAGUUUCUGUUAUAAGAAGGUAGAAUGUCCUCAAUAUAUCUUUAGGCUGUGUCAACACUUUAUUAUGAAAACAAAAAUCGUAUACAACUAUACACAUGAUGAUGUGUAAAUGUGAGCACAAUUAUUGACAUUAGCAGGAACAUUUAUUUAAAUUAAGCAAACAUAAUCAGGAUGAUUUUAUUUUACAAAGCAAUCAUUCAUAGCCAGUCAUUUUUAUUUGUUGAUAGUGCUAGGAUUAUCAUUGACAUUAAUCUUAUGGAAAUCUAAGAGAAUUAAUAAUAUGAUAUCAAUUUAUUUUUCUAUCUAAAGUACAAAGGUGUGCAUGUUUUUAUUUGUCUCAUCCCUAAUCUUGUAGAAUACAGAAUCUCAUUAGGGGCCUUAUGGAACUGUGCCUCUAAGUUACAUCAGAGUUCAUCCCAGUUUAUAUCCUGGAUUGUUGAGAUUCAAGUGAGGAAAAUCCCACACCAACCAUUUUUCUCUUUGUCAUAAAACCAAAAUGAAGAAUGUGAACACUUUUCCCCUAAGAAGUAGAGCCAAACUGCCUUUUCCAACGAAGAACAAUCUUUGAAUGAAAGACCAGAACUAAUAUGUGCUGUUGACCUGCUGUGGAAUCACCACCCAGAAUCGCAAGAAUACAACUGAGCUUUUAAAUUACAGACAAGUAAGUCAAACUUGUAUCCUAACCUGAAUGGUAGAAAAUGGCAGAAGUGGAUUUUAAUCCAUGAGUGUCAGAAUCCUAAAUCUAGCUCCUUUUGUUAUGAACAUUUCCAGACAAAAGUUACAAACAAUAUUUUAUAAUCUACUUCUUUCAUUGAUUUUUUAAAACAUGAGAUUAUAAUAUAAUUACAACAUUUAUUCCUUCCCUCUCCCUCUUUCAACCAGCACCAUAUACCCCUCCCUGCUCUCCUGUACUUCAGAUUCCUAUACAUAACAUGUUCACUGAAUGUAAUGUUAAUUAAUAUUGAAUUUUCAGGACUGACUUUUUGGCACAAGACAACCACACAUGCCUGGUUUUGGAAACCUAGAUAAUUACUUGGUGCUCUUGAAGUCAUGUAUGAAAGGAGAAUCUCCAAAUUCAUUUUAUUUAAUCAGCAUAACCUCGAACAACAAUCUAGAAACAACUUGUCCUUAUAACCAUAGAUAACUAUAGCAUCAACACCCCCAUCAAGGAAAGUUUACCUUGCAACAGUGGAGAGUACUAAAGAAAACCAUAAACCAGUUAAAAUACAUACAGAGUAGUGAUGCCUAGUCCCAAAACAUCUAAAAUACAAUCCUGCACCUAAGGCUCAGGGAAAAUUGUGGAAGUGGCUGUGGAAAGAUAGUAAGAGCCAAAGGAUCAGGGACUUUACAGUGAGAUUGUAUCUCCUGGGAUCAUCAGUAGCUACACCAAUAAAGAUGUAUGCUCUCAGUGACAGUAUCAGCUAUGAGUUCUAUCUCAAGAGUGGACCAUCAAUUUAAUUUUUAAAACAUGGUUGGUUGGUCCUGUGACAUUAAUACCACUCUUGCACCAGUAGUCACAUCUUGCUAGGCUAGUCAUUAUUGUGGCUUGAAGGUUGCACAUCCUGGUGAAAUUGAUGUUUAUUUUUCUACUCUGGUUGUGUCCAUAGCCAGUACUGAAAGGAAGGUAGGCAGGACUAAGCUUCUAGUUUAGUACCAACUAUAUUGCUUCUAUAAUCCAAGGAUAUCUUCAGGUUUAGGGUCUUACUAGCAAGUUCUGUAACAAUCAAUGGUAUUGGCAAUAAUGUACACUGUUUUAAGGAGUGUGUAUCUGUGGGAAUCUGUGUUUAACAAUUCUAUAUUUGCAAUGAAUAAAGUUAAUAUCCAAAAUAAAACAAAACAACAGUAGUGUGACCUUGGGAGACACAACCUUUCUUGGAAAGUUUUUCUAGUCAGUUUUGGGCUUGAAGUGACAGUGUCCUUACUGAAAAGGUUGAUUUAUGGCUUUGUUAGGGCUACUGUGACAAAAUGCCAGAUUGGUGACUUCUAUACAUUUUCUCAAGGCACUGGUGGCUGGUAGUUUAAUAUCAAUGCAAGCAAGAUUUGUUUCUUUUGUGAUUAUUUUCUGUAACUUGCAAGUAGCCUCCUUGUUUUUUUCCUUUUGUCCUCAUAUCAUCUUUCCUCUGUAUGUGUAAACCAUUGGUGUCUCAUAAGAUUUCUAGUUCUGUCUGAUUAAGGCCAAUCACGUAGGGCCUUAUUUAAUCUCUAAACUUCUAAUGUCCAAAUACAAUCAUGGUGGAGAUUGGAUGUCAGCAUACAAAUUAGUCAGGACAAUUCAGUCUAGAAAACAAAAAAUUGGAAAGAUAUUCAUAACAUGAGGAAGACUGAGUCCCCCCUUUCUUUGUUUAUUUAUUUAUUUUUUUACACUCCAGAUUUUAUUUGCCACUGUCUCCCACCACCUCUACCCUUUGACUGUUCCACAUCUCAUACCUCCUCCCCAGGCCCCUGUCUCCAUGAGGAUGUCCCCAAUCCCCAACCCCCAGUCCCCAGCCAACCAGACCUUGAAUCUCCCUGGGGCUGCCAGUCUCUUGAGGGUUAGGUGCAUCUUCUCUGACUGAAUCCAGAUCCAGCAGUCCUCUGCUGUAUGUGUGUUGGGGGGCUAAUAUCAGCUGGCAUAUGCUGCCUGGUUGGUGGUCCAGUGUUUGAGAGAUCUCAGAAGUCCAUAACCCAUAAUGGACUGCAAAGAACCCUGAAAGAACUGCAGGGAUGGAAGUGGAAAGGAUCCUGAGGAGAAGAAGGUCCAGUGAUAGGUCCAAAGUGAAACCCAGCUCAAGGGGAGGUCCCAAGGCCUGACUCUAUUACUGAGGCUAUGGAGCACUCACUAAAAAGGACUUAACAUGACUGUGCUCUGGAAAACCCAACAAGUGGCUGAAAGGGCCUGAUGCAGAUAUAUGCAAUGGGCAGAAUCUGCUGACCCCUGUGGUUACAUUAGGGAAAGGCUGGAAGAAGCUGAGGAGGAGGGCAAUGCUGUAGGAGAACCUGCAGUCUCAACUGAGUCCACUCUUUCCAUUCAAGUUGGUCUUUCAUAGUUAUAGCAAAUUACAAGCUCAGAACAAAGCUAGAGUAACACAGAUUCCCUUACAUAUAUCCUGGUGUGUACUGUAUAGAUGACCACCAAUAAUGUUUCAAGAUUUGGGUUCAAUUGAAUUGACUUCAUAAUGACUAAAUGGACAAUUCAGUAAGUACUUAUAAGCUAGGCUGUUAUGUGAUUGUUGGCAUUCCUUUAGUACAUAUUAAUUGAAUUUAGGUAGGAUAUUUCCUCUGAAAAAUAGGAACCUAAAUGGCUACAUACACUUUAUAAUAGCUGUCUCAACUCUCUGAGGCAGGGACAGAGGGAGUCUAGGGCCUCUUUAGUUAUUAAUGAAUAAUACAGAAUAAAUGAGGCUGUAGCUUGGCCUGAUGAAAAUAUAUUAUUAGUUCUGAAGAGCCUAGAUACAAAAGUCUGUCACUUUUCAUAGUUCUCUGUCUUUACUCAGUGAAACACUUCUUAGCUCUCCUUGGGUCCUCAAAAAUGUGUGCUCUCAUAUCUCAGCACAGUGCUAGUGUAGUUUUAUCUGUGCUCAUAAAUGAAGUAAUGCCAUUAAAUAAUUCCUCACCCAGAGGUCCAUAGAGUGUCAGUAGAAAAGCUGGUUCUUCUUUGUUUUCUACAUUCUUUUGUCAGAGGUCUUUCUUCAAGGUUUUUUUUCCUGUCUCUGAUGUUUCUACUUUCUUUAGGCCUAGAAUUUAUGGAUUUGAUGGCCAUGUUUUGAAGACCUUGCAGCAAAAUGCAUUUUCUUUCUCUUUUUCACUGAGAAAUUGAAUGAAUAUUUAGAAAAUGUAUAUAAUAUACUACUUUGCAAGACUAUAUGUUUCUCUCCAACUUCAUCGAAAAA
rnacentral:lncRNA from 1 species